UUUCGGAUCCAAAACCCCAUUUUCCCCACCAAUUAAAGGGGGAAAAAAGAAGAACCUAACAGAUUGUCAAAGGCUACACCAAAACUUUGUCCACAGGCUAUGCUGGAGGAUGCUAAGAAGGGCUGCAAAAGGCUGCAUUAAAGAACAUUGAAAGCGUAAAGGAGGAAGCACGUGGACACGUGAAGAACCAGAAAUGGAGAAAUCAAUGAAAGCAACGCUGAAAAAGGCCCACCUUAGCCUUGUUUAUCUUAACAGAGAAGAACACUGGGCAAGGAAAAAAGUGUGAUAUUAUAAGAUAAGUUGACCAAUUACGUUACGAACUGGCGAACAGAACGAAACUCCUCAGUAAGUAGAAGGAUUGGAUGGGAGCAAUUCAAGUCAAGCUAGACAAGUUCUCUGAGAUCUUCUCUUUUGGUUACUCUCAUAUGUGGGGAAACUAUUGAACUUAUACUUGAUUCGGAAUAGACAAGAUUGAUGUACUAAUAUCUACAAAUGAAAUAUUUAACGACUUUAUAUA